rnacentral:rRNA from 1 species
AGCGUACACGGUGGAUGCCCUGGCAGUCAGAGGCGAUGAAGGACGUGCUAAUCUGCGAUAAGCGUCGGUGAGGUGAUAUGAACCGUUAUAACCGGCGAUUUCCGAAUGGGGAAACCCAGUGUGUUUCGACACACUAUCAUUAACUGAAUCCAUAGGUUAAUGAGGCGAACCGGGGGAACUGAAACAUCUAAGUACCCCGAGGAAAAGAAAUCAACCGAGAUUCCCCCAGUAGCGGCGAGCGAACGGGGAGGAGCCCAGAGCCUGAAUCAGUGUGUGUGUUAGUGGAAGCGUCUGGAAAGGCGCGCGAUACAGGGUGACAGCCCCGUACACAAAAAUGCACAUAUUGUGAGCUCGAUGAGUAGGGCGGGACACGUGGUAUCCUGUCUGAAUAUGGGGGGACCAUCCUCCAAGGCUAAAUACUCCUGACUGACCGAUAGUGAACCAGUACCGUGAGGGAAAGGCGAAAAGAACCCCGGCGAGGGGAGUGAAAAAGAACCUGAAACCGUGUACGUACAAGCAGUGGGAGCCUCUUAAUGGGGUGACUGCGUACCUUUUGUAUAAUGGGUCAGCGACUUAUAUUCUGUAGCAAGGUUAACCGAAUAGGGGAGCCGAAGGGAAACCGAGUCUUAACUGGGCGUUAAGUUGCAGGGUAUAGACCCGAAACCCGGUGAUCUAGCCAUGGGCAGGUUGAAGGUUGGGUAACACUAACUGGAGGACCGAACCGACUAAUGUUGAAAAAUUAGCGGAUGACUUGUGGCUGGGGGUGAAAGGCCAAUCAAACCGGGAGAUAGCUGGUUCUCCCCGAAAGCUAUUUAGGUAGCGCCUCGUGAAUUCAUCUCCGGGGGUAGAGCACUGUUUCGGCAAGGGGGUCAUCCCGACUUACCAACCCGAUGCAAACUGCGAAUACCGGAGAAUGUUAUCACGGGAGACACACGGCGGGUGCUAACGUCCGUCGUGAAGAGGGAAACAACCCAGACCGCCAGCUAAGGUCCCAAAGUCAUGGUUAAGUGGGAAACGAUGUGGGAAGGCCCAGACAGCCAGGAUGUUGGCUUAGAAGCAGCCAUCAUUUAAAGAAAGCGUAAUAGCUCACUGGUCGAGUCGGCCUGCGCGGAAGAUGUAACGGGGCUAAACCAUGCACCGAAGCUGCGGCAGCGACGCUUAUGCGUUGUUGGGUAGGGGAGCGUUCUGUAAGCCUGUGAAGGUGGCCUGUGAGGGUUGCUGGAGGUAUCAGAAGUGCGAAUGCUGACAUAAGUAACGAUAAAGCGGGUGAAAAGCCCGCUCGCCGGAAGACCAAGGGUUCCUGUCCAACGUUAAUCGGGGCAGGGUGAGUCGACCCCUAAGGCGAGGCCGAAAGGCGUAGUCGAUGGGAAACAGGUUAAUAUUCCUGUACUUGGUGUUACUGCGAAGGGGGGACGGAGAAGGCUAUGUUGGCCGGGCGACGGUUGUCCCGGUUUAAGCGUGUAGGCUGGUUUUCCAGGCAAAUCCGGAAAACCAAGGCUGAGGCGUGAUGACGAGGCACUACGGUGCUGAAGCAACAAAUGCCCUGCUUCCAGGAAAAGCCUCUAAGCAUCAGGUAACAUCAAAUCGUACCCCAAACCGACACAGGUGGUCAGGUAGAGAAUACCAAGGCGCUUGAGAGAACUCGGGUGAAGGAACUAGGCAAAAUGGUGCCGUAACUUCGGGAGAAGGCACGCUGAUAUGUAGGUGAAGCGACUUGCUCGUGGAGCUGAAAUCAGUCGAAGAUACCAGCUGGCUGCAACUGUUUAUUAAAAACACAGCACUGUGCAAACACGAAAGUGGACGUAUACGGUGUGACGCCUGCCCGGUGCCGGAAGGUUAAUUGAUGGGGUUAGCGGUAACGCGAAGCUCUUGAUCGAAGCCCCGGUAAACGGCGGCCGUAACUAUAACGGUCCUAAGGUAGCGAAAUUCCUUGUCGGGUAAGUUCCGACCUGCACGAAUGGCGUAAUGAUGGCCAGGCUGUCUCCACCCGAGACUCAGUGAAAUUGAACUCGCUGUGAAGAUGCAGUGUACCCGCGGCAAGACGGAAAGACCCCGUGAACCUUUACUAUAGCUUGACACUGAACAUUGAGCCUUGAUGUGUAGGAUAGGUGGGAGGCUUUGAAGUGUGGACGCCAGUCUGCAUGGAGCCGACCUUGAAAUACCACCCUUUAAUGUUUGAUGUUCUAACGUUGGCCCGUAAUCCGGGUUGCGGACAGUGUCUGGUGGGUAGUUUGACUGGGGCGGUCUCCUCCUAAAGAGUAACGGAGGAGCACGAAGGUUGGCUAAUCCUGGUCGGACAUCAGGAGGUUAGUGCAAUGGCAUAAGCCAGCUUGACUGCGAGCGUGACGGCGCGAGCAGGUGCGAAAGCAGGUCAUAGUGAUCCGGUGGUUCUGAAUGGAAGGGCCAUCGCUCAACGGAUAAAAGGUACUCCGGGGAUAACAGGCUGAUACCGCCCAAGAGUUCAUAUCGACGGCGGUGUUUGGCACCUCGAUGUCGGCUCAUCACAUCCUGGGGCUGAAGUAGGUCCCAAGGGUAUGGCUGUUCGCCAUUUAAAGUGGUACGCGAGCUGGGUUUAGAACGUCGUGAGACAGUUCGGUCCCUAUCUGCCGUGGGCGCUGGAGAACUGAGGGGGGCUGCUCCUAGUACGAGAGGACCGGAGUGGACGCAUCACUGGUGUUCGGGUUGUCAUGCCAAUGGCACUGCCCGGUAGCUAAAUGCGGAAGAGAUAAGUGCUGAAAGCAUCUAAGCACGAAACUUGCCCCGAGAUGAGUUCU